GGUUGGUCCGAGUGCAGUGGUGUUUACAACUAAUUGAUCACAACCAGUUAUAGAUUCCUUUGCUCCUUCUCCACUCUCCCUGCUUGACUUGACCAGCCUUAA
rnacentral:Y_RNA from 1 species